AAGUCGUAACAAGGUAUCCGUAGGUGAACCUGCGGAUGGAUCAUUAAAAAGCUGAACCUAUCAGUAUACACCCAUGUUGUCGACGACGUGUCUUGUUGGCGCUGGAACGCACCCGGCCGCACGCGGUCGGGAGGCAGUGAAGGCGCCGGCCUCCAAACCAUACGCAAGCUUGUAUAUUCUGUGAACACAAUUACAAAAAUCUAUACAACUGCUAGCAACGGAUCACUCGGCUCUC
rnacentral:misc_RNA from 1 species